UAAUUGCAGAAUAAAGCUUCCAUUGAAAUAGGUUGAUGCAGAGUCAUUUAACUGAAGCAUCAAAAUAUUCUGGUUGGAGAUUCAUAAUUCAGAUUAAAUGCAAUUGGGCAUUAUAAUAUGAUUGAUUGACUUGUAAUUUAAUAUCACUUUCAAGUAUAAGAUCAAUGGUCAGUUAUAUAUAGUGGUUGAGGAAACCGGAGGGAAUCACCUUGGGUACAUUUUUGUAGGAUAUUGACCAACUUCAAGUCUUGGGUAGGUUAUUGACAAACUUCAAGUCUUUAGUAGGUUAUUGACAAACUUCAAGUCUUUAGUAGGCUAUUGAUAAACUUCAAGUCUUGGGUAGGUUACUGACAAACUUCAAAUCUUUAGUAGGUUAUGGACAAACUUCAAGUCUUGGGUAGGUUAUCGACAAACUUCAAGUCUUUAGUAGGUUAUGGACAAACUUCAAGUCUUGGGUAGGUUAUUGACAAACUUCAAGUCUUGGGUAGGUUAUUGACAAACUUCAAGUCUUUAGUAGGCUAUUGAUAAACUUCAAGUCUUGGGUAGGUUACUGACAAACUUCAAAUCUUUAGUAGGUUAUGGACAAACUUCAAGUCUUGGGUAGGUUAUCGACAAACUUCAAGUCUUUAGUAGGUUAUUGACAAACUUCAAGUCUUUAGUAGGUUAUUGACAAACUUCAAGUCUUUAGUAGGCUAUUGAUAAACUUCAAGUCUUGGGUAGGUUACUGACAAACUUCAAAUCUUUAGUAGGUUAUGGACAAACUUCAAGUCUUGGGUAGGUUAUCGACAAACUUCAAGUCUUUAGUAGGUUAUGGACAAACUUCAAGUCUUGGGUAGGUUAUUGACAAACUUCAAGUCUUGGGUAGGUUAUUGACAAACUUCAAGCCUUGGGUAGGUAACUGACAAACCUCAAGUCUUGGGUAGGUUAUUGACAAACUUAAUUACACUUGCAAGCUGAGUGCACCCUUUUUCAGAUCACAUUAGACCAAAGGUUCAUGUGAGCCAUUUCCAUCACUUGGUGUCCGUUGUCCUAUACUAUUCAACAACAACUGUGCUAAUUUGGACUAAAUUUAGCCCAAUCAUCCUGACAUAAAUUUAGAACAUGGGGGUCAAAUCAUGUUUUGGCCUAUACCUUGAAAAUACAACAGGAUAUACUUUUACCUGAAAUCUGAUUAUCAAUCAGAUUAACAUGAUCUACUAUUCUUUUGGUCAAUGGACUUCUAAUAAGAGUCAUCAAUGAGAAAAUCUUGUAUCAUAUAGUAAGCUAUAUAAGGUCCCUGGCAUAACAAAAUCAAAGCACCAAGGGUGCUAUAGGCAGUUAAUUAAAAAAAA